AUACUUACCUGGCAGGGAAGAUACCAUGGUCAUGAAGGUGGUCUUCCUAGGGCAAGCUUAUCCAUUGCACUGGAUGUGUCGACCCCUGCAAUUUCCCCAGAAAAAAGAAAAGGGGGUGCCAUUUUACUUCAUGAGUUAAAUAAAACAAAGAAAUGUUUUAA
rnacentral:snRNA from 1 species